UCUUCGAUAAAUAGCGCACACGUUGGUAAGAAAUACCUGUGCGUAACCAGGUCUGCCGCCAAACGUUACCCAACUUCAACGUUAUUACCAGCAAAGUCCCGCCAGCCAACAUGAGGAUCGCCAUAGUCUUCCUUCUUAUUGUCGUGCCUGCCAUAUCUGCGUUGAACCAACGCGCCCACCACGCGCUACUGGCCGAACGCGCUGCUGAUAGCUGGCUGAAUCACCCUGUCGUGAAGGCGCUUUUAAAGGAUGUACUGGUAGCUGUUCCAGUUGACCAAAUAUGCGACUACUUGCAACAGUUUGUGGACAAGGCACCGGCGCCAAACAACGGUUGAAGGAUUGCACGUGUGAAAUGAAGAAUAAAUGAAAUCCGUUGAAAA